ACGCAGAGGGUUCUCAGACCAGCUGCCUUCUUUGUCGGGGCUGCAACUUUGUAUGCGGUCCUCCUAGCUGCAUGGAUGCCCCAAGGGGUAUUCAGGAUAUGUGCAGAAGCUAUCAGGAGCUGCCGCCCUCUGCCGGAUGUAGGCCCUUGCCCCACCAGACAAAUGCCAUUGUCUGCUCGAUGUCUGUUCCCUUCCCUGGCUUCCAAGUCAUAAGUACUGGAGCAGCAAUGCAGGUAUUAAAAGUGGGAGCCAUGUUUCAGUCAGCCAACAUCACUGUUUUGGCAUGGCUGCAUCUCUUGCUGCUGGACCUCUAUCAAGCCAGG
rnacentral:lncRNA from 1 species